rnacentral:tRNA from 1 species
CAGGUAGCUCGUCAGGCUCAUAACCUGAAGGUCAGAGGUUCAAAUCCUCUCCCCGCAA